GGUGUGGAUGAGUGGCGAACGGGUGAGUAAUACGUGAGUAACCUGCCCUUGACUCUGGGAUAAGCCCGGGAAACUGGGUCUAAUACUGGAUGCUACAUGUCACCGCAUGGUGGUGUGUGGAAAGGGUUUACUGGUCUUGGAUGGGCUCACGGCCUAUCAGCUUGUUGGUGAGGUAAUGGCUCACCAAGGCGACGACGGGUAGCCGGCCUGAGAGGGUGACCGGCCACACUGGGACUGAGACACGGCCCAGACUCCUACGGGAGGCAGCAGUGGGGAAUAUUGCACAAUGGGCGAAAGCCUGAUGCAGCGACGCCGCGUGAGGGAUGACGGCCUUCGGGUUGUAAACCUCUUUCAGCAGGGAAGAAGCCACAAGUGACGGUACCUGCAGAAGAAGCGCCGGCUAACUACGUGCCAGCAGCCGCGGUAAUACGUAGGGCGCAAGCGUUGUCCGGAAUUAUUGGGCGUAAAGAGCUCGUAGGCGGUUUGUCGCGUCUGCUGUGAAAGCCCGGGGCUUAACCCCGGGUGUGCAGUGGGUACGGGCAGACUAGAGUGCA
rnacentral:rRNA from 1 species